UUUUUUUUUUUUUUUUUUGGAGAAUCCGUAUUCUGCAGGUUUGAAAAUAGUUGGGUAUUUAAUUGAAAGUCAGAUUGAAUUGAGGGUGAGCUUCUAGCCAUUGAACUGAAAAACUAAAAUGAACUAUUCAGUUGGGUUUCCUCUCUAAGAUCAGUUCAAUUCAUGAUUCUGGAAUUUCAAUUGCUUGAUUUUCUCAAAAACCAAAUUGAACUGAACUAAACCGAAAAACACUCAGCCCUGCAGAUAGCAGGGUUAAUAUCCUGUCAUCUCAAAGCUUCCAUCUUAUGUGUAUCCACGUAAUAUGCUACAAUUAGAAAAAGAAUAAAUUUUCUCUCAGAAGCUGAAAGCAAAAACUAAUAGGUAGUAAGAUUAAACACGGUCCCCUUUAGUUUACAAGAUUAUAAGCUAGAAUUAGAAUGAAAAGAGAAAAUGAAGGUGGCAAAAAUAUAGAGAAAAACAUUUUUGUCUCCCAAGUCAUACAGUACCAGCAAGCUUUAACACCAUGGCAUGGCAACCACAGCCUCAUCUGUUUAGGACUAGUCCAGCCACACAAAAUAGACAUAUAAAUAUGCAUGAAUUCAUGUGCAUACCCACACAGCUAAAUACAUGUCCAGGCCCAUGUAUUUUUAUACAAAAAAUGCAAUUGAGAGAUUUUGAAGUUCUAUUUUGUUCAACUGAACACAGCUUUAAUUUUUGAAUCAAUAUUGUAGGAAAGAAUCAAAAUAAUCUUGCAACUUCAAAAAUGAUCCAAAAAAAAAAACUCAAGGAAAGAUGAAAGCAUCAUGAAGUGAUGAAGCCAGCCAAUGUUGCAGAUAAAGGGAUAGAGAGACAGAUUGGGAGGAGAUUGAGAGGGUGAAAGUGAAAUAACAACAAGACAGAUCAGGAUUCCACAGUUCCACUGUUGCAGGGAAAAUGAACAAAGGGGCAUUGGCAAAUGGAAGAAAAAGAGAGAGAGAGAGUAGAGAAACCAAAAAUUUCAAUCACUUUUUCAGCACUAACAGAACCCAUUAAGACUAUUUUUAAGGCCUCCAGCUUCCUAAUGUUACAAGUUGAUCUUUUUGCGAUACGCAUUUGAAGAUGGACUGAUGCCCCUCUGAUUUUGACCAUUGCCUUCCUUUGUCUUUGUUUUCGCUUGUAGUGAGAAGGAGAAGGAGACUGAAAAAUGGUAACUCAAGACUUAACGCCCUUGAUCUAGCCAAAUAGAAGGUAAUUUCUGGCAAUACCAUUAAAAAUAUCAAGAGUGAAACACAACUCCAACAAUUAUGAUGCAUAGUGACAAUGAAGACUUCUUUUCUGGGUUUUUCCUGAGUGCAUUUUUAGUAUUGUUUAAUAGUGGUUUUUUUUAUUGUUUUAAUUUGCUUUGGUAAUGCAAUGGUGAGAAGUGUUUUGAUAUGAGGGUUUUUGGGGGGUAUAGGUGAUCAGUUUUUCUUUGAUUCUGGUUAUGUCAUUAAUGUUCUUGCU
rnacentral:misc_RNA from 1 species